rnacentral:snoRNA from 1 species
AUUCUUUUUUGGUUCAUAAGUGUGAUGAUUGGGUAUUCACGGCUUUGUGUGACAUGUGCCUCCCUCAAGCCUUGGUAUGACAUUGGCACAUUACCUGUCUGACA